UACGUAGGGGGCAAGCGUUGUCCGGAUUUAUUGGGCGUAAAGAGCGUGUAGGCGGCCAGGUAGGUCAGCUGUGAAAACUCGAGGCUCAACCUCGAGACGUCGGUUGAAACCACCUGGCUAGAGUCCGGAAGAGGAGAGUGGAAUUCCUGGUGUAGCGGUGAAAUGCGCAGAUAUCAGGAAGAACACCCGUGGCGAAGGCGGCUCUCGUGGGACGGUACUGACGCUGAGACGCGAAAGCGUGGGGAGCGAACAGG
rnacentral:rRNA from 1 species